AUUCCAGCUCCAAUAGCGUAUAUUAAAGUUGUUGCGGUUAAAAAGCUCGUAGUUGGAUUUCUGCCGAGGAUGACCGGUCCGCCCUCUGGGUGAGUAUCUGGCUCAGCCUUGGCAUCUUCCUGAAGAACGUAGCUGCACUUGACUGUGUGGUGCGGUAUUUAGGACAUUUACUUUGAGGAAAUUAGAGUGUUUCAAGCAAGCGCACGCCUUGAAUACAUUAGCAUGGAAUAAUAAGAUAGGACCCCGGUUCUAUUUUGUUGGUUUCUAGAGCUGAGGUAAUGAUUAACAGGGACAGUCAGGGGUACUCGUAUUCCGCCGAGAGAGGUGAAAUUCUCAGACCAGCGGAAGACGAACCACUGCGAAAGCAUUUGCCAGGGAUGUUUUCAUCA
rnacentral:rRNA from 1 species